rnacentral:lncRNA from 1 species
GCCAACCCUUGGGUCCACAUGAGCCCACUUUGGAGUUGACUCUAAUCCCCUAAAUCAUGAUGCUAUAGGGGAGAAAGGUGGACUCAACUGGACAAUAUAAGUCCUGCACAUGUAAACUAAAGUUGAUUUUUUUUCCUCCCUGUUCUUUCCUGAGCAGAGUUGAAAAAGAAAUGAACACACCAGCUUCAGAAUGAAAGCCUUAGUUUUGGAAGGUCAUUGAUUUACCCUCAUUCUUUUCUUCCAGAUUGAUUGGUAUCAGUGCCUUACAUUGAUCUGUGUUCCAACCUUGGCGGUGCGUUUUGUUUUGUUUUUCUGAAUUGUCUGCAAGUUAUUUGUUCAAACCGUGAAACCAGACUACUCAAAACCCUCUGCCAGACCUUCAACCCAUCAACAGUGGUUCAAAGGAAUUCCCCAGUCUUGCUGCACUCCCAGAAGAAAUCUCCCUCAAACUGUUUGGCAAUGCCUGGUCAGUCACAGGAAGAACCACUCUUGUGCACGCUCACAGUCACGAUUUUCCAGGAGAAGAGCAACACAUGUCCACUGUGGAAACAUUAGAAAACAGAUAACCCAAGGGAAAAAAGAGAAGCCUUGUCACCACACCAUGCCCCAGGGAACUCAUAAAACAAAGGGCAUGUUCCGGAGGUGCAGUCUCCCCUCCAAGUGAUCUAAACCAGCUUUGACUUUUCCAGCAGGAAGUUGGACUGGAAUAUUUCACAUUUAGCCCCCCUAUAUUUGUGAAGUUCCUGAAUGGAUCUAUUCUUCGACUAGCCUUUCCAAGGGUCUUUAUUAAGUUGUGAACUUUAUAACCAUUUAAGGAAAUUUAUGGAAAGGGACAGAGAUGGGUUUUUUUUUUUUUUUUUUUUUAAGAUUUUACUUAUUUCUUCAUGAGAAAAACAGAGAGAGAGAGGCAGAGAGAGAAGCAGGGUCCCUCCAGGGAGCCUGAUGCAGGACUCAAUCCCAGGACGCCAGGAUCAUGACCUGAGCCAAAGGCAGAUGCUCAACCACUGAGCCACCCAGGCGUCCUGGAAAGGGACAGAGUUUGAGAAGCUGUUCUUUCACAUUACUUUCUCAAAGUCUCAUGUCCAUCUUUUGCAAAAAUGAAAAAGAACCUACUUCUCUUCAUUUGGGCUGGCACAUGCAAUUUCACCUUACUUUGUAAAUAAAAGGGAGGCAACUUUUCUGAAAUACAGGGUUGAGAAAGUAUGCUCAGCCUCACAGACCCUCCUCUAGGCACACCUGUGGGUUCACUGGUGCUUAUUAUGGAAACCACUUGAAAAUGCCCGAAGGUUGGAUUGUUUCCAAAACGUCAGAUGCGUACAGCACUUAGGUUCAGAGCUAGAACAGAUUCUAGGAUGGGAUUCUGUAUCACCACAAGUCCCUGUGUGGAUCUGAGUGUGGGAUCGGGGCCAAUGGCAUAAUUAGAAAUCAGGCGUUACUUCAGAGGGGUGCUUUCCCACCCUGCUCACAGCACCUGCCCCGCCUCCAUUACUUCUCUACUGAGUCUACACAGUCCCGCUGACACCGUGGGUCAUCAGCAGUUUGGCCCUUCGUAACCUGAGGAUUCCUGUUGGAGAGAAUAGGAGCCCCUGAAUACCUGGAAGAGAAGGGGUGGGGGUGGGGGGCAGGAGCACACAAAUGAUAGAGGUAUAAGAACACUGGCUUUGAGGCCCAGACAGCCUGGGUGUUUAUCCCAGCUCCACCAUUACAGGCGGGGUGAGCUUGGGCCCUUCAGUUCUCUGGGUGUCAUUUCUUUGAGUGAAUAAAAGAAUAAUAAUAACAGCACCUACCUACUUCCUAGUGUUGGCUGCUGUGAAGGUAAAGGGCAAUUAGUGAGCUAAAUGCUUAGCACAAAACUGGGUAUGAGCUCUUAUCUGUAUGAGGGGAAGGGCCCAGAAUGGGAGAGCUGGGAUCUUGGGAACAUACUUCUCUUCACAGCAUUGUCUGAAUGGUAGAGCCCAUAUUUAUAGGGUUCAGAUGGCUCAGGAGCACCCAACUCAUGAUUAGAUUUUCUGCAUUAAACUGUGUGAGGACAGCAUGUUUACCUUUCAUUCAAGUAACUUUUUAAAAUAGUUUUUAUUUUUAGAAAAGCUAUAGAUUUAGGGGAUGCCUGAGUGGCUCAAUGGUUGAGCAUCUGCCUUUGGUUCAGGUUGUGAUCCUGGGGUCCUAGAAUCGAAUCCCGCAUCAGGGUCCCCACUGGGAGCCUGCUUCCCCCUCUGCCUAUGUCUCUGCCUCUCUCUGUGUGUCUCUCAUGAAUACAUAAAUAAAAUCCUUUUAGAAAGCUAUAGAUUUAUAGAAAACUGGAAUAUAGAGUACAGAGAAUUCCCAUAUACCCCACAUUCCAUUUUCCCAAUUACAUCUUCUGUUAGGAUGGUGUAUUUGUCACAUUAAAGCAAUAUUGAUACAUUAUUAUUAACUAAAGACCAUAUCUACAGAUUUC